rnacentral:rRNA from 1 species
UACACUCCUGCGGGAGGCAGCAGUGGGGAAUAUUGCACAAUGGGCGCAAGCCUGAUGCAGCCAUGCCGCGUGUAUGAAGAAGGCCUUCGGGUUGUAAAGUACUUUCAGCGGGGAGGAAGGCAAUACGGUUAAUAACCGUGUUGAUUGACGUUACCCGCAGAAGAAGCACCGGCUAACUCCGUGCCAGCAGCCGCGGUAAUACGGAGGGUGCAAGCGUUAAUCGGAAUUACUGGGCGUAAAGCGCACGCAGGCGGUCUGUCAAGUCGGAUGUGAAAUCCCCGGGCUCAACCUGGGAACUGCAUUCGAAACUGGCAGGCUUGAGUCUUGUAGAGGGGGGUAGAAUUCCAGGUGUAGCGGUGAAAUGCGUAGAGAUCUGGAGGAAUACCGGUGGCGAAGGCGGCCCCCUGGACAAAGACUGACGCUCAGGUGCGAAAGCGUGGGGAGCAAACAGGAUUAGAAACCCUAGUAGUCCC